GACGAACGCUGGCGGCGUGCUUAACACAUGCAAGUCGAACGGAAAGGCCCUGCUUUUGUGGGGUGCUCGAGUGGCGAACGGGUGAGUAACACGUGAGUAACCUGCUCUUGACUUUGGGAUAACUUCAGGAAACUGGGGCUAAUACCGUAUAGGAUCUCCUGCUGCAUGGUGGGGGUUGGAAAGUCUCGGCGGUUGGGGAUGGACUCGCGGCUUAUCAGCUUGUUGGUGGGGUAGUGGCUUACCAAGGGUUUGACGGGUAGCCGGCCUGAGAGGGUGACCGGCGACAUUGGGACUAAGAGACGGACCAGACUCCAACGGGAGGCAGCAGUGGGGAAUAUUGCACAAUGGGCGGAAGCCUGAUGCAGCAACGCCGCGUGCGGGAUGACGGCCUUCGGGUUGUAAACCGCUUUCGCCUGUGACGAAGCGUGAGUGACGGUAAUGGGUAAAGAAGCACCGGCUAACUACGUG
rnacentral:rRNA from 1 species